rnacentral:rRNA from 1 species
GAUUAACGCUAGCGGCAGGCAUAAUACAUGCAAGUUGAACGGCAGCACAGGUAGCAAUACUGGGUGGCGAGUGGCGCACGGGUGCGUAACACGUAUGCAACCUACCCUAUACAGGCGAAUAACCUUUAGAAAUGAGGGCUAAUACGCCGAAGUAUUACAGAUGGGCAUCUAUUUGUAAUUAAAGAUUUAUCGGUAUAGGAUGGGCAUGCGUCCCAUUAGUUAGUUGGUAAGGUAACGGCUUACCAAGACGAUGAUGGGUAGGGGAUCUGAGAGGACUUACCCCCACACUGGUACUGAGACACGGACCAGACUCCUACGGGAGGCAGCAGUAAGGAAUAUUGGGCAAUGGCCGCGAGGCUGACCCAGCCAUGCCGCGUGCAGGAAGACGGCCUUAUGGGUUGUAAACUGCUUUUAUACGGGAAUAAUAGAGUGUACGCGUACAUUUAUGCAAGUAUCGUAUGAAUAAGCAUCGGCUAACUCCGUG